UGGUUAUACUGAAACAGCCAAUGUCUACAUGGGUGUGGUCUUUCGUGGAUUAUAUUCUUGUUUUGCUGUUUCGUCUUCGUCUUGUAACAUCUUGCUCGUCACACUGGUAGACUUUAGAACGCCACUUUCUAUAAUUAAUUAAGAUUGUCCCACAAAUGAGAAGAAAUUGCAGUUAAUUUCGGUACUACUAAAACAAGCGAUGCUUGUGACGUCUCCACCUUCCAACAUUAUGCAGUUAAUUAUUGCUGUAACAAUGACAGGCAAUUGGAAAUUAAUUAAUUUGGAAGUGACCGCAACAACAAAUUGCUUGCAGUGGUAUCCCUCCUAGAUUUGUUUUGCUUGUCAGACUGGUAGACUUUAGUACGCUACUUUCUACAAUUAAUUGAGUAUAAAUUGAGGUUAUUGUGCAUCGAUCUCUCGUGACAGCUUUUAUUUCCCACAGAAUAAAUUGGCGUUUAUCCAUCGAUAGUUACCAACUACCAUCUAACUACUACUACUCGUUGAUUUAUCAAUGGAUUUUCUUUUUACCCUUUUUCUAUUGUCUGCUUCGUAAAUUGACGUCGUAUUAUUUGACAUUUGUCUAUGUCGUGAUCUAUGGUUGUGAUGUAAAAUGGCGUGGAUGUAACGCUUGUUAUUUUAUAAUUCAACUUA